GAAGGGGAUUAUACAAGGAUAUGGAUCACUGGGUCAUCUUAGAAUUCUACCCACCACAAAGGGCUCAAGUUAGACUUCCAUGACCAGCUCUCAGGGUUCUUUAGGACUGGGACCUUGAGUGGUGAAAUCUGAUAUUUUGAAACGAGGAGGGGACUCACUCUAGGGAAAACCAGAGAUCACACUCUGUCUGCUCAGAGGCUAAUCGCAACGAAGGAGAUGACGUGGACAAAGAUCUAGCUGGUCAGGAUGCCAAAGAUCUGUAUGAUGCAGGGGAAGGCCGCUGGGGC